UACGUAGGGACCAAGCGUUGUUCGGAUUUACUGGGCGUAAAGGGCUCGUAGGCGGCCAACUAAGUCAUACGUGAAAUCCCUCAGCUUAACUGGGGAACUGCGUGUGAUACUGGAGGGCUUGAGUAUGGGAGAGGGAUGUAGAAUUCCAGGUGUAGCGGUGAAAUGCGUAGAUAUCUGGAGGAAUACCGGUGGCGAAGGCGGCAUCCUGGACCAUUACUGACGCUGAGGCGCGAAAGCUAGGGGAGCAAACGGG
rnacentral:rRNA from 1 species